GAGCUGUAGCUCAGCUGGUUAGAGCGCACGCCUGAUAAGCGUGAGGUCGGAGGUUCAAGUCCCCCCAGCUCC
rnacentral:tRNA from 1 species